rnacentral:rRNA from 1 species
GAUGAACGCUGGCGGCGUGCCUAAUACAUGCAAGUCGAGCGAACAGAUAAGGAGCUUGCUCCUUUGACGUUAGCGGCGGACGGGUGAGUAACACGUGGAUAACCUACCUAUAAGACUGGGAUAACCUCGGGAAACCGGAGCUAAUACCGGAUAACAUAUUGAACCGCAUGGUUCAAUAGUGAAAGGCGGCUUUGCUGUCACUUAUAGAUGGAUCCGCGCCGUAUUAGCUAGUUGGUAAGGUAACGGCUUACCAAGGCAACGAUACGUAGCCGACCUGAGAGGGGGAGUGGCCAAAAGGGAAAUGAGAAACGGGCCAGACCCCCACGGGAGGGAGCAGGAGGGAAAUCUCCGCAAGGGGGGGAAGCCCGAAGGAGGAAAGCCCCGGGAGGGAGGAAGGGUUUUGGAUUGGAAAAACCCGUUUUCAGGGAAAAAAAAAAGGGUAAGGAAACUGGGCAAAUUUUAAGGGAACCGAUUAGAAAGGCCAGGGCUAAUAAGGG